AUUGAACGCUGGCGGCAUGCCUUACACAUGCAAGUCGAACGGCAGCACGGACUUCGGUCUGGUGGCGAGUGGCGAACGGGUGAGUAAUGUAUCGGAACGUACCUUUCAGUGGGGGAUAACGUAGCGAAAGUUACGCUAAUACCGCAUAUUCUGUGAGCAGGAAAGCAGGGGAUCGCAAGACCUUGCGCUGAUUGAGCGGCCGAUAUCAGAUUAGCUGGUUGGUGGGGUAAAGGCCUACCAAGGCGACGAUCUGUAGCGGGUCUGAGAGGAUGAUCCGCCACACUGGAACUGAGACACGGUCCAGACUCCUACGGGAGGCAGCAGUGGGGAAUUUUGGACAAUGGGGGCAACCCUGAUCCAGCCAUGCCGCGUGAGUGAAGAAGGCCUCGGUUGUAAGUCUCUUCGGUCGGGACGGAAAGUACGCACAGGCUAAUAACCCUAGUGUGGAGUGACGGUACCCGGAAGUAAGAAAGCAACCGGCUAACUAACGU
rnacentral:rRNA from 1 species